rnacentral:tRNA from 1 species
AGAGUUAUCAGAUUCAUGACGGAUACUUGAUUUGAAAUCAAGUUAUUUGCUUUUGAUAGCAACAUGAGUUUA